UACGGGGGGGGCUAGCGUUGUUCGGAAUUACUGGGCGUAAAGCGCGUGUAGGCGGCUUUGCAAGUCGGGUGUGAAAGCCCUCGGCUCAACCGAGGAAGUGCGCCCGAAACUGCAGAGCUUGAGUACCGGAGAGGAUGGCGGAAUUCCCCAAGUAGAGGUGAAAUUCGUAGAUAUGGGGAGGAACACCGGUGGCGAAGGCGGCCAUCUGGACGGAUACUGACGCUGAGACGCGAAAGCGUGGGGAGCAAACAGG
rnacentral:rRNA from 1 species